UCUAUCGAUUGCCCGGCGACGACAUGGUUCGCUUUCGGUUUCGGGGUUUCGGUCUUUUCGUCUUGAGCGAGCGUCGGGCGGAAGUGAAAAUAGAAGUGAUCAGCGUGCAACUUUCGCCCCUUCAUUCUGAGGGGGCAAAGGGAGGAACGCCAUGGAAGUCGCCUUCUCCUCGCCACGCAUGAUCUCCGGCGACGCCCGCAUACUCUCCAGAUCGUCUCGGAGCAGCGGCAGGCCGGCACCUAAGAGGGUGGCCGUCAGCCGGCCUCCUUCCGCUUCGGCCGGCGUCUCCUCCUCCUCCUCCUCCUCGAGGCCUUCUUCCCUCAGUUGCGGCCUUGUCGCCGCUCCUUUCGUCUGCGGGAGCGUCCAUGGCGACUUUAAUGGGCUGAAGAUUAGGGUUCCGUCGCUAAAGCCGCCCGCUUUAUCCCAUAGCCGCCGACCCACGAGAGGCGUCGUUUCCAUGGUUAUCCCUUUCUUGAGAGGAAAUGCAUGGGAGCAGCCACCUCCAGAUCUCGCUUCUUACUUGUAUAAAAAUCGAAUUGUAUACUUGGGCAUGUCUCUUGUUCCAUCGGUGACUGAGCUGAUGCUAGCAGAAUUUCUUUAUCUUCAAUAUGAAGAUGUAGAGAAGCCAAUUUACCUAUAUGUAAAUUCCACUGGCACGAUAAAGGCUAGUAUAUAUCCCUUCUCGAGUUAUCAGACUCAUUUACCCCUUUUUUUAAGAUAUGGGUAACAACAUUCUUCAUAUUUUAAUAUCUUAGUUUGUCAAACUUGGUAUCUAGUAGAAUGAAUAUUAGAUGAAAUAUGGGGAAAAUGUUUAUGCAAUACAUUGCUUAAUAUAUAUGCCGUUCAAUUAUUAUAAUCGAGUGGCAUAGAUUACUUUGAUAGUUUGAUGGACUCCAAAGUUGUGGCUUGUGAAUCUUCAUUGUUUUGAGCUCACAUAUGGACGCCACAGGUAACUGUUUUAACCACAUAUAUGCUGGUGAACCGUGAAUUUAAAAAUCCUCAGCUAUGUGACUCUUAUAACAGCAAUAACAUAAAGUAUUUAUCAAUUUUCCUAUCAUCAUUGUAGCAUCAGAAUGCAUUGACAUUCAAUGGACCAAUAAGAUAUCAUUUAGAGUUCUUUUAUUCUUCUCUACUCAACAGAGCAAUAAUGCCUCUGUAAUCUUCUUUGUGACUGCUUAAAACAGUUGUUGUAUGAGUUUGCAUCUAUGAAAUGAGCCCAAGGCUCGAAAAAGGUAGUUGAAGUUUGGACAAUGAUUAUAGUGCAGUUGUUGCCACUGAAGUUAAUAAAAUUGUGAUGCUACUUUGCAAUAUUAUGAGAGUUACCUUUUUUUAACUCGACUUGCCAAUUUGGUCAUGUCAAACUGUGUUAGUUGGAUGUCAUUUCAUGUUUCAUUUCUUCUUUGCCAGACUUGGGUUUGUGGAGUUGAUGUCUAUGCAUAAUUUUUUUAAUCCUAACUAGACUCAUUUGAUUUGGUUGGUCAGAGUUUCCUACAAGUGAAAGUGUCUUUGGACAUUUGAGAUGGGCUCUUAGUCCGUCCUGUUUUCUACUUCAGAUAGGACUGCUGAGUGCCUUUAUGACUAGAUUGGGCUUAUUACUUUUUUUUAAUCUUCAUGAAUCUCCAUACAUACCAAGACUUCUUGAUGUGUUUUCGAAGUCUACCUUGGAAAUGGUUGAACUAUCUAAUUUGGAUGGCUGGAUUACUCAUAUCAUUUAGUCUGAAUAUAUCUUAAGCAGCUCUUUACUGAGCAAGAUUUAGUUUUAGUUGUGGCGGAGGUCAAAGCUUCCUAUUAAGGGUAUGAGUUUAGCCAUAGCUGCUUACAUAAUAAGAUUAGCAUUCCUAAUUAAGUCACUGCCCUGAGACCCUCAGAUCAAUUAACAGACCAAGUAAGACAAUGGUGGUGUUGGGUCAAUGCAGUGGUAAUAUUUUAAUUGAUUCUGACGGUACAUGGACUGCUCGCUACCGGGCGGUACCGUCGAUUGGUGAUGGUCAAUUUCAACUGUCGCCGCCCGCUAUCGGGCGGUAUUAGCCAAGGGAGAAGGAAGAAGGGAGAGAAGACGAGGGAGAAGAAAAGGGAGACCUUGGAGAUCCGGUGCCGCUCUCCCUCGACGAUUCUGAUCUGUCGCUGCCCUCCUUCGUCGGACACCGCAGAUGAGAUGUCACCUCCUCCUCGUCUGAGGUGACGAGGCUUCAGCGUCGUCGAUGACUUCUCCUAAUCCGUGCGGGGAGAAGAAGCCUCGGUGUGGGGAGAAGAAACCUCGGCGACGUCACUGAGGCUUCAUGGGGAGACCUCGGCGUCGUCGGCGACUUCUCCUAAUCCGCGUGGGGAGAAGAAACCUCAACAACGUCGCCCUUUUUUUAUUUUUUAACUUUUUAUUAUAUAUAUAUAUGCACACACACCAAACGAUACGUCAGAACGUACCGCUCAGUAUACUCGUACCGUAUCAUACCGUAUCGAGCUGAGCUUGAUACUCCGCUACGGUACAAAAUUAUGAACCUUGGAUAAUAGUACACAGUGAGAUGAACCCUUGUCUUGGGUCUAUGCAAGGUUGGGUAUUCUAAUUGAUUUUUAACUUGAGCAAGUUUGUCCUUUAUGCCACUCAUAAUAGCUGUAUGUCUCCCUUCAAAUCUUAUUCAUUUUUGCUAAAAGUAAUUCUCAUGAACUUUUAAACAAUACAAGACCUGGACAAUACACUAUUCUGGUUUUUCUAGAAAACAUAAAUAAAAAUUGUAACUUAUACUGUUUUGGAAAUACUUUCAAGACUUUGCUUUUUCCUACGUUAUAUAUUUUGGUCCAUUUGUUCCUGUAUCAUAUAUCGGUCUUAUUCGAUUCUUUUUAUUGCAUGUGAAGAUAUCAAGUUUCCUAAACUGUACCCUAUCACACUCUCAUGUACAUUCUUCUAGGGUGGAGAGAAAUUGGGUUAUGAGACAGAGGCAUUUGCAAUUUAUGAUGUCAUGAGCCAAGAUUUAAAAGGUUGCUCACACAUACUUUGAUGGAGGAAGAUAUGGCUUAAUGCUUUAUGAAAGGUGAUGGCUUAAUGCUUAAUGGAGGAAGAUAUGGCUUAAUGCUUUAUGAAAGGUGAUACCUAAUUUUGCCUGGACCAGUAUGUACCAGCUGGUAUUUUUCUGUAUUGACUGGUAUACCUGGUUUUUAAUAUCUUGAUUUAAAGUUUAGUUUUUUCUUAUUCUUUUAGAUUUAGGUUUUGGGCUCCAUGGUUCCAUGAAAGCAAGUAACAAUCUAAUGCUUGGAUAUGCCAUGAAAUUCUGAAAUAUGUUAUUAUUUGCCUCUACUUGUUUAUUUUGAAAAUUUAUAAUUUACAAUCAUUAUUCAGUCCUUUUUUUAUCAGUAUGGGGUUAAGGAAAUUCUAUAAACCAGGCAUGAUAUAUUAACUAUAUUACUAUAGCAUGCUGAAACUAAUUCAAUUGCAUUUCUUCACUCAAAAGUAUAGUUAUGUCAAAUCACCAAUUUUUACGCUAUGUGUUGGCAAUGCCUGGGGAGAAGCUGCACUACUUUUGGCUGCUGGUUCUAAAGGAAACCGUGCUGCUCUACCGUCGUCAUAGACAAUAAUGAUAAAGCAGCCAAUUGCAAGAUUUCAAGGUCAAGCAAGUGAUGUUGAUCUUGCAAGAAAAGAAAUAAAAAAAUGUGAAGGCCGAACUGGGUGAUGAAAACGAGGUCAACUUGGAGUCAUCUUGAUCCAAGUGGAAGGAGGAGCUCCCAAUUUGUCUCUGCUUUUCUUUUUCUUCUCAUUCUUUUCUCCUUUGAGAAGGUACCUGUAUCUCUCUUUCUUUUUCUUUCUGGUCCUGGUGCCCGGUAUCCAGCAAUCUUGCUUAAACUAAUCUUUUGUGUUCUUAGAUUUCUAUAUUGCCUUACAAAAGUAGUCUUGAAACACCUGGUGUAUUUGAGAAAAAGAUUACUACCUUUGUUCUCUUUGGUCAUGUCACAAAAUGUCCCAAAUCAAUGUAUGCAAUAAGAUCCGUGCUUCGAGUUCUAAGCACAUUUGCAUGAAUUGCUUGAUAAGUAUUCUCCUUUCCCCCUUCUUUCUUGAUUUCAGUUUUUCUUUUUUGUUACAUUUCCUUUUCUGACUGUUACACACUGUAGGUGUCUGAAUAUAACCUAUAUGGUCCCGUUACUUAAGCACAUAGGAAAAACUCCUGAGCAGAUUGAGGAAGAUAUCAGACGCCCCAAAUAUUUCAGUCCGAGUGAAGCAGUUGAAUAUGGCAUCAUCGAUAAGGUACUGUACAAUGAGAGGGCCUGUGAAGACCGUGGCAUCGUUUCCGACCUUAAAAGAGCUCAGCUUAUAUAGACUGCUGAAUGCAGAUGUUGUGACACCAGGAUUUCAGCUAAAUUUAUGAUGUGAUAAGGACCUUAAAAGAGCUCAGCUUAUAUAGACUGCUGAAUCACAGCUUUUAUGCAUUGGUACUUACUAUUGUUCCCUCGGUUGCUUCAUUCUCUGUUUUCAGCUUACAUUUACUAAUGGUUUGCUGAUCAUUUCAUUUCAUAGUUUAAUGUAGUUGGUAUAAAAGCCAAAGCAUGGUGGCAGUGUGCAGCAAUUACAUGUUAGAAAUGUCGGCUCCCCCAACACAUUAGGAACAAAGAACAAUACUUCAAUUUGGUUCUUAUUUAGUCACGAUCGGCCAUAGUCUCAUCCUUUUCAACCAGCAGACAUGGCUGCCCUAUUUUUGUUUUUGAAACUAUGAACCUGUAUGACAUAUUUUUGGGGCCAGUGAAAGCUCAUCAUGCACUACUCAAUUUAUGUGUUCUCAAUGCCUUGCAAUAGUUUGUACGACCAAAAUAAAAGAACAAGAAUAGAAUCACUCUAUUUAUAUC